rnacentral:rRNA from 1 species
AACGAACGCUGGCGGCAGGCUUAACACAUGCAAGUCGAACGCCCCGCAAGGGGAGUGGCAGACGGGUGAGUAACGCGUGGGAACAUACCCUUUUCUACGGAAUAGCUCUGGGAAACUGGAAUUAAUACCGUAUACGCCCUACGGGGGAAAGAUUUAUCGGGGAAGGAUUGGCCCGCGUUGGAUUAGCUAGUUGGUGGGGUAAAGGCCUACCAAGGCGACGAUCCAUAGCUGGUCUGAGAGGAUGAUCAGCCACAUUGGGACUGAGACACGGCCCAAACUCCUACGGGAGGCAGCAGUGGGGAAUAUUGGACAAUGGGCGCAAGCCUGAUCCAGCCAUGCCGCGUGAGUGAUGAAGGCCUUAGGGUUGUAAAGCUCUUUCACCGAUGAAGAUAAUGACGGUAGUCGGAGAAGAAACCCCGGCUAACUUCGU